rnacentral:rRNA from 1 species
UACGUAGGGUGCGAGCGUUAAUCGGAAUUACUGGGCGUAAAGCGUGCGCAGGCGGUUCUCCAAGUCCGGUGUGAAAGCCCCGGGCUCAACCUGGGAAUGGCAGUGGAAACUAGGGGACUGGAAUCUGGCAGAGGGGGGUGGAAUGCCGCGUGUAGCAGUGAAAUGCGUAGAGAUGCGGCGGAACACCGAUGGCGAAGGCAGCCCCCUGGGCUGAGAUUGACGCUCAGGCACGAAAGCGUGGGUAGCAAACAGG